rnacentral:rRNA from 1 species
CGGGGGGAGCAAGCGUUGUUCGGAUUUACUGGGCGUAAAGGGCGCGUAGGCGGUCAGCACAAGUCAGUUGUGAAAUCUCCGAGCUUAACUCGGAAAGGUCAACUGAUACCGUGCGACUAGAGUGCAGAAGGGGCAACUGGAAUUCUCGGUGUAGCGGUGAAAUGCGUAGAUAUCGAGAGGAACACCUGCGGCGAAGGCGGGUUGCUGGGCUGACACUGACGCUGAGGCGCGAAAGCUAGGGGAGCGAACGGGAUUAGAUACCCCGGUAGUCCUAGCCUUAAACGAUGAAUGCUUGGUGUCUGGGGUUAUAUAGUCCCCGGGUGCCGUCGCUAACGCUUUAAGCAUUCCGCCUGGGGAGUACGGUCGCAAGACUG